rnacentral:rRNA from 1 species
GAUGAACGCUGGCGGCGUGCCUAAUACAUGCAAGUCGAGCGAACAGACGAGGAGCUUGCUCCUCUGACGUUAGCGGCGGACGGGUGAGUAACACGUGGAUAACCUACCUAUAAGACUGGGAUAACUUCGGGAAACCGGCGCUAAUACCGGAUAAUAUAUUGAACAGCAUGGUUCAAUAGUGAAAGACGGUUUUGCUGUCACUUAUAGAUGGAUCCGCGCCGCAUUAGCUAGUUGGUAAGGUAACGGCUUACCAAGGCAACGAUGCGUAGCCGACCUGAGAGGGCGGUCGGCCACACUGGAACUGAUACGCCGUCCAGACUCCUACGGGAGGCAGCAGUAGGGAAUCUUCCGCAAUGGGCGCAAGCCUGACGGAGCAACGGCGCGGGAGUGAUGAAGGUCUUCGGAUCGUAAAGCGCUGUUAUUAGGGAAGAACAAAUGUGUAAGUAACUAUGCGCGUCUUGACGGUACCUAAUCAGAAAGCCACGGCUAACUACGUG